rnacentral:rRNA from 1 species
UGGCCAGACUCCUACGGGAGGCAGCAGUGGGGAAUAUUGCACAAUGGGGGGAACCCUGAUGCAGCGACGCCGCGUGGGCGAGGAAGUAUUUCGGUAUGUAAAGCCCUAUCGGCAGGGAAGAAGAAAUGACGGUACCUGAAUAAGAAGCACCGGCUAAAUACGUGCCAGCAGCCGCGGUAAUACGUAUGGUGCAAGCGUUAUCCGGAUUUACUGGGCGUAAAGGGAGCGCAGGCGGCGCGCCAAGUCUGAUGUGAAGCCCCGGGGCUCAACCCCGGGCAUGCAUUGGAAACUGGCGGGCUGGAGUGCCGGAGAGGUAAGCGGAAUUCCUAGUGUAGCGGUGAAAUGCGUAGAUAUACGGAGGAACACCAGUGGCGAAGGCGGCCUGCUGGACAUUAACUGACGCUGAGGCGCGAAAGCGUGGGGAGCAAACAGGAUUAGAUACCCCUGUAC